CUGUUUCUGGUGGGGGGGGGGGAAGUUUCCCAAAGAGAGCACUAAAGUACAGAGAGAGAUCAGUGAAGAGUGUGGCAGUAGUGCUGCUACUGGGCUGCUCAGGCGGGGAGCUGCAAGCUCAGGCUGCAAGAAGCCGAGGAGAGCGUGGAGGCAAAAGUGAGUGAGCUCUUUUUGCAGCGGCGGCAGAGAGGCAGGCGGGAAAGGCUGGCCUGGCCGGUUACUAAUAAAUUGCUAUGGCGGGGGGAAGAGGACUCUGGUGGCCGCUGCUGAGAAACAUCAGCAGCUUUUCUGCCGCUUUUCUGCCGCUAAACAAAGGGAGGGCGGCAGCUUUUCUGCCGCUAAACAAGGGGAGGGUGAUGUGUGCGUGGGGAAUUCUAGUACCUCAAGUGGCCUUCCGGGCCAUCCUCAGCGGCGAGGCGGCCAGCUUGGGCUGUGCGCCCUGCACCGUGCUUCGGCUGCCUCUCGCCUGCGGGCUCCCCGUGCCGCCGCUUCCCGGGGCUGGGGCGGCGAGGUGAGCUGCGUGUCCUGCCUUUCCCCUUCGUUCCUUCACUUCGUCCUGCAGCAGGAAGAAUCCAGGCGGUGCGCAAGGCCAGCCCCCGGAGGCGAAGCAAGCCCCGCUCGCUGGCUGGCGCCUGGCUCGCUCGUCUUUGAACUUUUGAACUGUGAUUUGAAUGGUGAUUUGAAAACUACUGGUGCUCGCCGCGGCGCCUGCAGCCAAGCCAGGCCAGCAUUAUUAUUAUUUAAAAAAAAAAAUAAUAAUUAAAAUUUAAUUUGGGGGAUCGGCGGGGGUCAUGGCGGCGCCCCCCCACGUGACCAGGAAAGAUGGCGCCUGGGGCACGUGCCCCCCCUGCCCCCCCUAUCGUUACGCCUCUGCCGGCCAUGACCUUCACCAUCAAUCGAGCCCCUUUCGGGCACAAUGGCUGAAGCGGAGGUCUUGCCUCCUCACCGUCAGAAGAACCUUCAUGUGUAGCUCCAAGGCCAAACUCCCAAAGGCAAAGAUAGACACUGUGCUGUCCUUUUGGUUGAGCCAUAGGUAGCUCAAGCUGUGUCUGGGCGGGAUCAUCCAUUGGUGGUCCUGCCCCAACACAGAUUGACCAAGGCCCACUGUUUAACCUGGCUGUGCAGGCCUGGCUGGUUGCCGCUUUUUGGAGCCGAGAAGGAAUUUUCCCCUGGGAGGUCUCUCGAUCCCCAGGUUUUUUGCCUUCUCUGCACAGCCUUCUCCUUGAGCUCUGCAAGCACCUUGGCUUGCCGCUGAAGAAGAGUCAACCAGUGGGUCUUUCCCCCUAGCUCCCCCCCCCCCAAAUAAAAGAUAAAUCAAUCUGAA